rnacentral:lncRNA from 1 species
GUGGGCAAAAGCACCGUCUCUGGAGUCAGAUAGACUCAGGUGCAAUUCCAGCCACACAUCUUCCUAGCUCUGGGGCCCUGGGCAUGUUACUAAAACUCCCCCAGCUUCAUUUCCUCAUCUGUUACCUGAGGAACAUAACAGUAGAGACAUAACGAUCUGCAUAAAGUGUCUGGCAUACUUGGUCAGUGUUCAAUACAUGAGAUUAUUCAGGUUCUUGUUAGAAGAGAAGGAAGGUGCUUGCAUAAUUCUAUAAAUAUACUAAAAAUCCUUGACUUGUACCCUUGAAAUGAUUGAAUUUGAUGUUGUAUAAGUUAUACUGCAGUAAACUUAGAAGAAGAAGAAGAAGAAGAAGAAGAAGAAGAAGAAGAAGAAGAAGAAGAAGAAGAAGAAGAAGGAGAAGGAGAAGAAAAGGAUUGCUAAUGACGAACAUAUUAUUGGAAGUGUUGGGAAACAGGACUUCAACCAAAAAGUUCAAUUUCCUCAAUGUACAUUGGAGGGCCAUCAGCAACACCAUCGUCUAGACCGGGCACGACUGGCCUGAAGCCUUUGGUGCCCAGGCUGUUACCACGAGGCUUCUCGAAAAGGAUCUGACAAGACCCUCGACUUCAGGCAAGUCCCAUUUUUGCCUCUGUAGAGCUGUGUGACCUUGGACAAGUCCCUUCCUCCUACAGACCGUUGCAGUGGAUUUAAGUACCUUCUUCCGGGUCAGUCUAUGCUAUGGCGCUGAUCAAGUGAUCUGGAAAACAUUCGCCUU